UUAAUUGAAAUAAAUAAUAUAUGGGGAAAUUCAAAAUAAAUAAUAAUAAAACAAAAAAAGUAAUAAAUAAAUAAAUCAAUACAGGUUAAGGACCAAAAUAAGAUGUGCACAAAAGAACAAGGAUUAAAAAUGCAAAUGUUCCAAAUCACAAAACGCACUGCAGAAACGCUGACUAAGUUGAAAUAUCGCGCAAACUUCAGGGAGAAAUUGAAAGGAACAUAACAGGUUAAGUUGAAGGUGACGCAAAAUAAGAAGGACUGGCGGCGCAAAUUACCUAUUUAAGGGGAAAAUAUGCGUGGACUGGGUCAAACACUCGGAUUGCCCUUCCUCCCCCCCAGAACCACCACCGCACAGUGGCCGAAUGUGCACCGAUGAUGGUUGAUUUUGCCAACAGAGGAAAGCCCCGACUAUGCCGACGGAGGUUUGGUAAGUGCUCUCACUUCUUCUUCUUUUUAUUACUCUUUGCACACCAAAAUAAAUAGAAACUCAAUAAACAUAAUUAAUCAAAAAUCACCUUUCAAAUUUUCUUUGCAUUUGUUUCUUUGCAAUUGAUUUUUGUGUAUAUUUUUGUAUUUCCCGUAACCCCAAAAAAAUUUACAUUCUUUGUGGCUUUAUAUAGCCAUUUUACAACUGUUUUGUACAUGUUUACAGGUAUGGCGAACGUGGUACGUGUUUGGGUAGUGAACAGUGGUGGAGGACGUGGGCGGUGGAGUGGCGCACGACAUGGGCGGCGGCUGAAGCACUUAGAGGGCUAGGGUUAUCCCUCAUUGCUUAUUUUCUGAUUUGUUGUGGGCUAAAU
rnacentral:lncRNA from 1 species